GAGAGAGUUGGAGUAAUACCCAUUGUGGAAAAGAUGGUUGAAUCGCAUCUCACGUGGUUUGGACAUGUGAGAAGAAGACCGAUAGAACAUCCAGUCAGAAGGGUGGAUGAGAUAGAAGAUGAACAAAUGGCGAAAGGCAGAGGAAGACUUAAGAAGACCAUCCAUGAGGUGGUCAAACGAGAUCUACAUGUAAACGGUCUCUCUGUAGACAUAAUACAUAACAGAGUAUAAUGGCGUUGUUUGAUUCAUGUAGCCGACCCCACUUAAUGGGACAAGACUUUGUUGUUGUUGUUUUGUUUGCUCCUAACUAAAAUAUGUCCGACAUCCUAUUUUGAUGCAGAAAACCUUUGAUGGACAUAAUUUUAGAUCAACUAGCUUACAACAUAGAUACCAUCCCCCUAUUUCUUAAGACCUUCAGUGAACCAAAAUGAAAGCUGGAAAUAGUUGUGUAUUACCUGUGGAAAUACAUGACUAAAGUAAUCAGCAGCUAGAUUGUUUGAAAAUCUACUUGCUUAACAUUAUGUAUUGUUACUUUUGAAAUGGAGCCUCAACGGAUAGUAAGCUACAGGUUUCAUAAUCUCUAUUUAAUUUUGUUUGUUUUAUACAUAAUUGCAACCUUUUGUUCACACUCGAAAGUCAAAUGGCUCUCCUGAGGAUGCAACAUUUGAAGUGGCUUUGAAAUGCUUCUCAAAUAAAACUGGCACUAAAAGCACUAUUAAAAAAAUUGGUCCAGAUGUAAUGCAGUUCCUUGUUGGUCACAUGUAUUCCUUUUUUGUUAUUUUAGUAGGAAGGUGGUUCUGUAAUAGAAGUAAUGGUUUGAUUCAUGUUAUUUAAAAGCUUUACUGUCUUCCUAACCCUCAUACAUGGAUUGUAAGCAUUUUGCAUAAUGUGAUUGGUGAAUUUGGUUAUAACGAGAGAAAUUUUUCGGGGUUAUUGGUUCA